AAUAAAGUGCCUGACUAAUAAGGAUUAUUAUGAUAGAAUAAAUUAUGUUACAAAUUAUAACCUUUAUUU
rnacentral:tRNA from 1 species